ACGCUCGACACCUACGGGAGGAGCAGUAGGGAAUCUUCCACAAUGGACGGCAAGUCUGAUGGAGCAACGCCGCGUGAGUGAAGAAGGUUUUCGGAUCGUAAAGCUCUGUUGUUGGUGAAGAAGGAUAGAGGUAGUAACUGGCCUUUAUUUGACGGUAAUCAACCAGAAAGUCACGGCUAACUACGUGCCAGUAGCCGCGGUAAUCUGAGCGGGCGUGGCAAGGC
rnacentral:rRNA from 1 species